rnacentral:tRNA from 1 species
GCCUGGUUGGCUCAGGGUGUAGAGCAUGUGACUCUUGAUCUUGCGGUUGUAGGUUUGAGCCCUACAUUGGGUG